rnacentral:rRNA from 1 species
UGGGGAAUAUUGCACAAUGGGCGCAAGCCUGAUGCAGCCAUGCCGCGUGUAUGAAGAAGGCCUUCGGGUUGUAAAGUACUUUCAGCGGGGAGGAAGGGAGUAAAGUUAAUACCUUUGCUCAUUGACGUUACCCGCAGAAGAAGCACCGGCUAACUCCGUGCCAGCAGCCGCGGUAAUACGGAGGGUGCAAGCGUUAAUCGGAAUUACUGGGCGUAAAGCGCACGCAGGCGGUUUGUUAAGUCAGAUGUGAAAUCCCCGGGCUCAACCUGGGAACUGCAUCUGAUACUGGCAAGCUUGAGUCUUGUAGAGGGGGGUAGAAUUCCAGGUGUAGCGGUGAAAUGCGUAGAGAUCUGGAGGAAUACCGGUGGCGAAGGCGGCCCCCUGGACAAAGACUGACGCUCAGGUGCGAAAGCGUGGGGAGCAAACA